UGUUAAGAAUUACUGUUUUCUCAAAAAUAUCAUAACUACAACGACAAUUUGCGAAUCUGACACAAUUUUUCCUAAAUGUUGUCAAUUUACCAAAACGUGAACAGGCCCUUUUAAGACUAUAAUGUACUCGCUUUCUCUAUUCCCAAAUGUCACUUCGUGCCUUAACUCUAAAACAUCAUUAAAAUAUAGGGUGGGUCAAUUCGAUGGGAUAUCAGAUCCGUCGUUGACAGCUUUUGUUUUGAUACCCUUGCUAGAAUGCACAGACCUAACAGAUUUAUUAUAAUAUUAUUACAUUAAUUUGCUAUAUGAUUUGCCAUGCAACAUCAUUAUCGAGAUGUGAUUAGAAACUCUCAUCUUAAUUAAGUAAUUGUUACAAUAUGUUGACCACAAAGACACAAAUGUAAUUAUACAGCUGCGCAUUACACAGUAGCCUGGUUAUGUCUGGUUUAUACUAAAACAUACAACUUACGUUACAUAUUGCAUUUUUAGGAGAUCAUUGUGUCCAUCUACCGAGCGAUUACGGCACUUGAGGCAUUGCCUGUGUUUAUUUGGAAAAACAAUCCAUAUCUUUUGGGAAUAUCGACAUACCUUUAGCACUAUCUAGCGCAAAGAAACAUGAUUUAAGAAAGGAACUCUUCAAACUCGACCGAAACGACGAAGGUCGUCUGCAUUGGUCAAGUAGCUGUACUGCGGACUCGUAUGCAGAAGAAGCGACGGCAUUUGCCCACCUUGCGUUCCUGAUAUUUGAUGACUUUCAGACAAGCCACAAGAUUGUGGCAUGGUUGACGAAACAUCGCGAUGCAGUUGGAAAAUGGCGUUCAUUGCAAGCUACUGUGGUUGCUAUGCAAGCCCUAGGGACAUACAGCGCUCGCGCGUAUAAUCAAGAUGUCGACUUCACAGUUAAAAUUGGAAAGGAAGGUUGGAAAAAUAUUGCAUACGUAAACAGAGAAAAUGCCCGUCUUCAGA